GCGUAUGGCAAACUUUCAUCAAGGAAGAUACGUCCCGUGAAUGGACACCGAAGCUGCGAUGGCGUGCGAAAAAAUGCCCGCAACAACCUCCGGGGACCGAUCUCUGUGGAUUCUUCGUUUGCGAGUGCAUCCGCAGAAUUGUCAGCGAGAGAACGAAUAAUGAAAGAAAUAAAGAGUUGGCAAGAAAGCGGAACAAGCUCUCAAUCGAUGACCGCUUCAUAGCAAUAGGCGGGGAAUUGGCGGGAUUUUUCCUUCGGGACGUCAUACCACCACUCGCAGAGUACCACUAUGAAUGAAGAUGUACAUGUUACAUAUAUAGUUGACUCGAAGAGUACCACUAUGCUACAUGUAAUAGACAUAUAUAGAGUACGCCUCGGAGAGUACCACUAUGCAUGAAGAUCGAUCUUCAUGCAUAGUGCUACUUAAUUUGCGAUCUUAUGCAAUAA